CAAUAGCGUAUAUUAACGUUGUUGCAGUUAAAAAGCUCGUAGUUGGAUUUCUGGAGGGAGCGUCGGCCCGUAUUUACGAGUGCGUGACGUCUCUGUCCAUCCUUGCGGGAAGGCACGGCAUUGAUUUGUUGUGUCGGAUCGCAUCAUUUACUGUGAAAAAAUUAGAGUGUUCAAAGCAGGCUUUCGCUUGAAUACAUUAGCAUGGAAUAAUAAGAUAGGACUUUGGUGCUGUUUUGUUGGUUGAGCCUAAAGUAAUGAUUAAUAGGGAUAGUUGGGGGCACCUGUAUUGCGUUGUCAGAGGUGAAAUUCUUGGAUUUACGCAAGACAAACAGCUGCGAAAGCGUCUGCCAAGGAUGUUUNCAUUAA
rnacentral:rRNA from 1 species